GAUGAACGCUAGCGGCAGGCUUAACACAUGCAAGUCGAGGGGUAUAUGUCUUCGGAUAUAGAGACCGGCGCACGGGUGCGUAACGCGUAUGCAAUCUACCUUUUACAGGGGAAUAGCCCAGAGAAAUUUGGAUUAAUGCCCCAUAGUAUAAUUGAAUGGCAUCAUUUAAUUAUUAAAGUCACAACGGUAAAAGAUGAGCAUGCGUCCCAUUAGUUAGUUGGUAAGGUAACGGCUUACCAAGACAAUGAUGGGUAGGGGUCCUGAGAGGGAGAUCCCCCACACUGGUACUGAGACACGGACCAGACUCCUACGGGAGGCAGCAGUGAGGAAUAUUGGACAAUGGGCGCAAGCCUGAUCCAGCCAUGCCGCGUGCAGGAAGACGGUCCUAUGGAUUGUAAACUGCUUUUAUACAGGAAGAAACACUCCGACGUGUCGGAGCUUGACGGUACUGUAGGAAUAAGGAUCGGCUAACUCCGUG
rnacentral:rRNA from 1 species